rnacentral:rRNA from 1 species
AUUGAACGCUGGCGGCAGGCUUAACACAUGCAAGUCGAGCGGAGCGAGGGUGCUUGCACCUUAGCUUAGCGGCGGACGGGUGAGUAAUGCUUAGGAAUCUGCCUAUUAGUGGGGGACAACAUUCCGAAAGGAAUGCUAAUACCGCAUACGCCCUACGGGGGAAAGCAGGGGAUCUUCGGACCUUGCGCUAAUAGAUGAGCCUAAGGCGGAUUAGCUAGUUGGUGGGGUAAAGGGCUACCAAGGCGACGAUCUGUAGCGGGUCUGAGAGGAUGAUCCGCCACACUGGGACUGAGACACGGCCCAGACUCCUACGGGAGGCAGCAGUGGGGAAUAUUGGACAAUGGGCGGAAGCCUGAUCCAGCCAUGCCGCGUGUGUGAAGAAGGCCCUUUGGUUGUAAAGCACUUUAAGCGAGGAGGAGGCUACUUAGAUUAAUACUCUGGGAUAGUGGACGUUACUCGCAGAAUAAGCACCGGCUAACUCUGUGCCAGCCGCCGCCGUAA